UCCCUGAUAGGAAAUGGUGGUUUAAACUCUCUUAUAGAAAUCCAGUUUCUUCUCCAACUCUGUCGAGUUCUUUCCAAGAUGUUCUGGGUGCUAAUCAAUGGAUGGGAGAUGGUUUUAACUUAAUCCAAUUGUCCAAUUGAUGGUGAUCUACUACCGUUAUUGUUCAAAACUUGAGUUGGGUUGGUAUGCAACGAAGGUUCCAACAGAUUUAAUUACGAUGGUGUUUAUUAAACAUUUGCACUGUAACAGUUAGGUAUAUCACUGCAAUUAGGAAACAUAGGGUAUAUCACUAAUUAGAAAACUGCAAUCAGCUCAUGGUAUAUCACUUAUCUUGAGACAGGUUUGAUUUAUUUUGUUUCUGUUUCUCCAUUGGGAAUUAGGUCAAAUGGGUUUAGGGUUUUUCCAUUGAUAUAUAGGGUUCUUCCAGUUGAGUGUGCAAUCAAAAUUAUAGGGUUUCAGUGUAAUGUGGAAUCAGUUGUUUUUAAUUAUGGUUUGAUAAACAUAAUUGUUCAGGUGAUUCAGAUAUUUUGAAGAACAUCUAAUUGAUACAAAAUAAAUUAAUACCACAUUGAUCUAAUUUGUAUCAUUGUCAUAUGCCAAGUCUAUUUUUUCAACUAAAUUGGUCCACUUGUUGCAGCCAAGAUCAAUUCAUUGAUACCAAUGUUGUUACUUUUAAUUUUUUGAUUGAAAACCUAUUUUCUGGAAAAACAUAGUGCUAUUGUUACAGAGGUUCAUACUCGAAUGUUUUUUUAUGGAUGUCAACGUAUAUUUUGAGAUUUAACUUUAGACUAUGAAGAGUAAUUGUGUCAAGCAAAGUAUGAUAAUAUGAUGCAGUUUGUUAUGUUCUUUUCGUUGCUACUUCAGGGGUAGAGAUCCUUCUGUUCAAGGGGAUUGCAAGUACAAUCCCAUGAAAAUGGUAAAUACUUGGGCGGUAUGAGGUAAAGCAAACCUUCACACACUCACUACAUUGUUUCUGAUUUAUUUGAGUUGCCAGUGACACGAACUUUCGCUCUCAUAUCUUUGGAUUCAGGUUUUUACUUUUGAUUUUGCAAGUGCUUCUAAUACUAGAAAUCCUUGUACUAUGUGAUCUAUUGUACGUUGUAGCCUUGUGCAAGACGUCAAUGAUUCCUGCUGAAGUAGAGUUGCUACUAUGUUAUCUCUGUCUUUGCCUUAAGAUACAAAUUUGUUAACUGCAAUUUUCAAAGUAAAGACUAGAUUCUCAUAUUUCAGGCUUGCUCACCAGAUUGGGGUCCUGAUCUGCCUUCAUCAUUAGUAAUUUUUCCUAAAAUUUAGGUAACCCAGAACUAACUUAGAUUUCUUAUGAUAUAUUAGAUUUGAAAUGGAUUCAGGGACAACAUGUCAACAACCGACUGAUGUGAAAUCGGAUAUUGCUCAUCUCUUUCCCUUUCUAUUACCGAGUCAAGAAUAUGGUACACUGUUACUUUACCAUCAUUAUUUAUGCGGGUGUACUCCAACAUUAUUUAUGUAGUCAUUCGUUAGAAAGCCGGGACAUAUUAAGAAUAACCACUCUCUAAAAUGAAUAUAAAAGAAUACAGUUUGAACGGAGAAUGUCUUUAGGAGGUGCAGAGCAAAUUUAUUGGAGGUUCAGGGAAGGCAUUAAAUGCAUAAUGCAUGGCUAUAAGUGAUGCAGUAAAUUGGUGCUGGGAGCUAGAGCUAAAGGAUGUAUUGAUGGAGACAGGCUUGAAAGGAAUAAUUGAAUUUUAUGCUGGAAAUGUCAACACCAUCUCACAACCGAACUCAAUGUCCUUGUAGAUACUGCAGAGAAACUUAAUGAAACUUUAUGUUCUUAAAUAGAAACUGUAAUAAACUAGAUGAUUGGCCGGCUAAGUUAAGUAUGAAAUUUCAUGUGUCUUUAGAUUGGUCAGAUAGACAAAUUCUUUGCAUCAAGAAAUUCUAAUUUUUUA